UCAAGUGACUAAGUGCAUGUGGCGGAUGCCUUGGCGAUCACAGGCGAAGAAAGACGCGGCAGCCUGCGAAAAGCUGCGGGGAGCUGGCAAACGAGCUUUGAUCCGCAGAUAUCUGAAUGGGGGAACCCACACCGCAAGGUGUAUCCGUGACUGAAUACAUAGGUUACGGAGGCGAACGAGGAGAACUGAAACAUCUAAGUAUCCUCAGGAAAAGAAAUCAACCGAGAUUCCGGCAGUAGCGGCGAGCGAACCCGGAGGAGCCUAGCUUUUGAUAGUACGAACUUUAGCCGAAAGGUCCUGGAAAGGCCUGCUAUAGUGGGUGAUAGCCCCGUAGGCGAAAGAGUUCGUAUGGUACUAAGGAAGCGAGAAGUAGAGCGGGACACGUGGAAUCCUGUUCGAAGAUGGGGGGACCAUCCUCCAAGGCUAAAUACUCGUGAUCGACCGAUAGUGAACCAGUACCGUGAGGGAAAGGCGAAAAGAACCCCGGGAGGGGAGUGAAAUAGAACCUGAAACCGCAUGCAUACAAACAGUAGGAGCCUCGUCAGAGGUGACUGCGUACCUUUUGCAUAAUGGGUCAGCGACUUACAUUCUGUGGCGAGCUUAACCGAAUAGGGGAGGCGCAGCGAAAGCGAGUUCGAAAUGAGCGUCCAGUCGCAGGGUGUAGACCCGAAACCAGAUGAGCUAUCCAUGGCCAGGUUGAAGGUGUGGUAACACACACUGGAGGACCGAACCGACUAGUGUUGCAAAAUUAGCGGAUGAGCUGUGGAUAGGGGUGAAAGGCCAAACAAAUCUGGAGAUAGCUGGUUCUCCCCGAAAACUAUUGAGGUAGUGCCUCGUGUGUCGCUCCAGGGGGUAGAGCACUGUUUUGGCUAGGGGGACAUGGAGUCUUACCAAACCAAGGCAAACUCCGAAUACCUGGAAGCGUAAGCACGGGAGACAGAGCACCGGGUGCUAACGUCCGGACUCAAAAGGGAAACAACCCAGACCGCCGGCUAAGGUCCCCAAUAACAGCUAAGUGGAAAACGAAGUGGAAAGGCCGUGACAACCAGGAAGUUGGCUUAGAAGCAGCCAUCCUUCAAAGAAAGCGUAAUAGCUCACUGGUCGAGUCCUUCUGCGCGGAAGAUGUAACGGGGCUAAGCUGUUAACCGAAGCCGCGGAUGCACUGAUUAUUCAGUGCGUGGUAGGGGAGCGUUCUGUAAGUCUGCGAAGGCGGUUCGAGAGGACUGCUGGAGAUAUCAGAAGUGCGAAUGCUGACAUGAGUAACGUUAAAGCAGGUGAAAAGCCUGCUCGCCGUAAGCCCAAGGAUUCCUGCUCUACGUUCAUCGGAGCAGGGUGAGUCGGCUCCUAAGGUCAGGCCGAAAGGCGUAGCCGAUGGGAAUCAGGUUAAUAUUCCUGAACCUGCGUCAGAUGCGAUGGGGGGACGGAGCAUGAAAGAUCAUCCGGGUGUUGGAUGUCCCGGUUGACGAGCGUAGGAGGUCUGCAGGCAAAUCCGCAGACGCAUCUCCAAGGCGAAGUCACGUGCCGCCACGGCGGCGAAGUGAUCGGAAGUGCUUCCAAGAAAAGCCUCUAAGCACCAGUCUGACGCGGACCGUACCGCAAACCGACACUGGUGGGCGAGCUGAAUAUGCUCAGGCGCUUGAGAGAACUCGGGAGAAGGAACUCGGCAAAUUGACACCGUAACUUCGGAAGAAGGUGUGCCGUAGUACCGUGAGAGGAGAGACACCUUGAGCGGGAAUCGGUCUCAGAGAAUAGGUGGCUGCGACUGUUUAUUAAAAACACAGCACUCUGCAAAGUCGAAAGACGACGUAUAGGGUGUGAUGCCUGCCCGGUGCUGGAAGAUUAAUUGAUGGGGUGAGAGCCCUUGAUCGAAGUCCCAGUAAACGGCGGCCGUAACUAUAACGGUCCUAAGGUAGCGAAAUUCCUUGUC
rnacentral:rRNA from 1 species